ACCUUAAACCAGCCGGUAAAGUGAUGAGGAAGAGGAGGAGCGAAGCGAUGUAAACAAACUAAAGUCGGUGUUCGAGCGGCUCAGAUCUGGACUAAAGCAGAAGAUGGUUCCUCUGAGCAGACGGACCGUGGACAGGAUCCACUCUGCGGUCUUGCUGGCGGUCGUGGUCUUGUCCUGGUCCUAUGUGAUCUACGCCAGCAGGAUUGCAGCUGAUUGGCUGUUGGAGAAGAGGACCGCCGUCCUGCAGCGAGCCUGAUGGACGUGAGCUCAGCUGCUGUGUGAGACGGAAUCAGACCUGUGUUGUCUCAAACAGGAACUGACCGGAGGUCAGCAGGCCUGCAGACCGUCGUGUGACCUGUGAGAGCCGAGAGACAGGACAUAUGGACAGACAGAGACAGAAGAACAGAGAAAAUACGGCAGGUGGACGUGAUCAUUAGGGAUCUGGGGGGCUGUCCUCUCUCUGUCCUGGUUUCUGUCUCUGUCUCCUGUCCUCAUCAGUGACAGGAAACAGCAGCUGAGCUUUUAUUUUCACACUGAUUCUUUUUAUACUUUUUAAAAUGAAAAUCUGUUUUGAAGACUUUGCUCAUUCUGUGAUGUUCAGAUGUGUCGAGUCUGCUCACGUGUCACAGCUUCUUCUGUCCGUUAAUGAUGUGGGUUUUAUCACAGCGCUGGAACAGAAGGUGUGUGUGUGUGCGCGUGCGUGUGUGUGUGUGUGUGUGUGAUGGAUUUGUUGUCAUGUUGAUAUUAAAGAGUUGUUUUGUUCUUUGCUGAAAAAAAAAGCCUCAUUUCAUCCAGUGUGGUGGAAAAAUAAGAGUCCAGGCUCCGCCCACUGAGGCUCGGCUCAGGUUUAUUUACAGCAAACAAUCAGUAUGAAUGGAAACACAUCAGCUCAUUACUGUGUGUGUGUGUGUGAUGUAUUCAGUAACUAAAAGCUCUGACACACAGUCCUGUUGUAUAAGGACGUGUUUGAUGUGUGUGUCCUCAGAUAUGGAAAUGCUCUGAGCAGAAUGGGUGACUGGGGGAUGAGAGAGAGGGCGAGGAGAGCGAGGAGAGGAGAGCGAGGAGAGGCUCUCCAGGUGAAAACUCAUCCUAUUAACAAAAGCACUUCAAACACACACACACACACGUUCUCUGUCAUGUGUAAUUAAAAACCUGGUUACCA